GGGUUGUGAGGUUAAGCGACUAAGCGUACACGGUGGAUGCCCUGGCAGUCAGAGGCGAUGAAGGACGUGCUAAUCUGCGAUAAGCGUCGGUAAGGUGAUAUGAACCGUUAUAACCGGCGAUUUCCGAAUGGGGAAACCCAGUGUGAUUCGUCACACUAUCAUUAACUGAAUCCAUAGGUUAAUGAGGCGAACCGGGGGAACUGAAACAUCUAAGUACCCCGAGGAAAAGAAAUCAACCGAGAUUCCCCCAGUAGCGGCGAGCGAACGGGGAGCAGCCCAGAGCCUGAAUCAGUGUGUGUGUUAGUGGAAGCGUCUGGAAAGGCGCGCGAUACAGGGUGACAGCCCCGUACACAAAAAUGCACAUGCUGUGAGCUCGAUGAGUAGGGCGGGACACGUGGUAUCCUGUCUGAAUAUGGGGGGACCAUCCUCCAAGGCUAAAUACUCCUGACUGACCGAUAGUGAACCAGUACCGUGAGGGAAAGGCGAAAAGAACCCCGGCGAGGGGAGUGAAAAAGAACCUGAAACCGUGUACGUACAAGCAGUGGGAGCCUCUUUAUGGGGUGACUGCGUACCUUUUGUAUAAUGGGUCAGCGACUUAUAUUCUGUAGCAAGGUUAACCGAAUAGGGGAGCCGAAGGGAAACCGAGUCUUAACUGGGCGUUAAGUUGCAGGGUAUAGACCCGAAACCCGGUGAUCUAGCCAUGGGCAGGUUGAAGGUUGGGUAACACUAACUGGAGGACCGAACCGACUAAUGUUGAAAAAUUAGCGGAUGACUUGUGGCUGGGGGUGAAAGGCCAAUCAAACCGGGAGAUAGCUGGUUCUCCCCGAAAGCUAUUUAGGUAGCGCCUCGUGAAUUCAUCUCCGGGGGUAGAGCACUGUUUCGGCAAGGGGGUCAUCCCGACUUACCAACCCGAUGCAAACUGCGAAUACCGGAGAAUGUUAUCACGGGAGACACACGGCGGGUGCUAACGUCCGUCGUGAAGAGGGAAACAACCCAGACCGCCAGCUAAGGUCCCAAAGUCAUGGUUAAGUGGGAAACGAUGUGGGAAGGCCCAGACAGCCAGGAUGUUGGCUUAGAAGCAGCCAUCAUUUAAAGAAAGCGUAAUAGCUCACUGGUCGAGUCGGCCUGCGCGGAAGAUGUAACGGGGCUAAACCAUGCACCGAAGCUGCGGCAGCGACGCUUAUGCGUUGUUGGGUAGGGGAGCGUUCUGUAAGCCUGCGAAGGUGUACUGUGAGGUAUGCUGGAGGUAUCAGAAGUGCGAAUGCUGACAUAAGUAACGAUAAAGCGGGUGAAAAGCCCGCUCGCCGGAAGACCAAGGGUUCCUGUCCAACGUUAAUCGGGGCAGGGUGAGUCGACCCCUAAGGCGAGGCCGAAAGGCGUAGUCGAUGGGAAACAGGUUAAUAUUCCUGUACUUGGUGUUACUGCGAAGGGGGGACGGAGAAGGCUAUGUUGGCCGGGCGACGGUUGUCCCGGUUUAAGCGUGUAGGCUGGUUUUCCAGGCAAAUCCGGAAAAUCAAGGCUGAGGCGUGAUGACGAGGCACUACGGUGCUGAAGCAACAAAUGCCCUGCUUCCAGGAAAAGCCUCUAAGCAUCAGGUAACAUCAAAUCGUACCCCAAACCGACACAGGUGGUCAGGUAGAGAAUACCAAGGCGCUUGAGAGAACUCGGGUGAAGGAACUAGGCAAAAUGGUGCCGUAACUUCGGGAGAAGGCACGCUGAUAUGUAGGUGAAGUCCCUUGCGGAUGGAGCUGAAAUCAGUCGAAGAUACCAGCUGGCUGCAACUGUUUAUUAAAAACACAGCACUGUGCAAACACGAAAGUGGACGUAUACGGUGUGACGCCUGCCCGGUGCCGGAAGGUUAAUUGAUGGGGUUAGCGGUAACGCGAAGCUCUUGAUCGAAGCCCCGGUAAACGGCGGCCGUAACUAUAACGGUCCUAAGGUAGCGAAAUUCCUUGUCGGGUAAGUUCCGACCUGCACGAAUGGCGUAAUGAUGGCCAGGCUGUCUCCACCCGAGACUCAGUGAAAUUGAACUCGCUGUGAAGAUGCAGUGUACCCGCGGCAAGACGGAAAGACCCCGUGAACCUUUACUAUAGCUUGACACUGAACAUUGAGCCUUGAUGUGUAGGAUAGGUGGGAGGCUUUGAAGUGUGGACGCCAGUCUGCAUGGAGCCGACCUUGAAAUACCACCCUUUAAUGUUUGAUGUUCUAACGUUGGCCCCUAAUCGGGGUUGCGGACAGUGUCUGGUGGGUAGUUUGACUGGGGCGGUCUCCUCCUAAAGAGUAACGGAGGAGCACGAAGGUUGGCUAAUCCUGGUCGGACAUCAGGAGGUUAGUGCAAUGGCAUAAGCCAGCUUGACUGCGAGCGUGACGGCGCGAGCAGGUGCGAAAGCAGGUCAUAGUGAUCCGGUGGUUCUGAAUGGAAGGGCCAUCGCUCAACGGAUAAAAGGUACUCCGGGGAUAACAGGCUGAUACCGCCCAAGAGUUCAUAUCGACGGCGGUGUUUGGCACCUCGAUGUCGGCUCAUCACAUCCUGGGGCUGAAGUAGGUCCCAAGGGUAUGGCUGUUCGCCAUUUAAAGUGGUACGCGAGCUGGGUUUAGAACGUCGUGAGACAGUUCGGUCCCUAUCUGCCGUGGGCGCUGGAGAACUGAGGGGGGCUGCUCCUAGUACGAGAGGACCGGAGUGGACGCAUCACUGGUGUUCGGGUUGUCAUGCCAAUGGCACUGCCCGGUAGCUAAAUGCGGAAGAGAUAAGUGCUGAAAGCAUCUAAGCACGAAACUUGCCCCGAGAUGAGUUCUCCCUGACUCCCUGAGAGUCCUGAAGGAACGUUGAAGACGACGACGUUGAUAGGCCGGGUGUGUAAGCGCAGCGAUGCGUUGAGCUAACCGGUACUAAUGAACCGUGAGGCUUAACCUUACAACGCCGAAGCUGUU
rnacentral:rRNA from 1 species